rnacentral:lncRNA from 1 species
UUUCACUUGUUUUAGUAAAAUCAACUAUUCCAGAAAGAUAAUUAAAAUUAGCUUUGGCAUGCAUAACUGCAUACAUAUUUCUGUAGGGUUUAAAAAAAAAAUCUAAGAUAAGGAAUGUGUGGUAAGUAUAAUAAAGGGUGGGAUGUUAUCAUUAAGAAAAGAACAAGUGACAUAAUCUGUCACAGAUAUAAUUCAUUGUUAUCAGACAUGCUGAUAGCAACAGGGUUAUAGUACAACAUUCCGAACUAAUAGUUCACCAUGUUCUACUGUUUUCUCCAUUAUUCUAUUUGGUCAGGAAAAAAUAUAGCAUCUAUGUCAAAGGAAUGUUAAAAAAAAUAACCACAGAAACAACGUCCACAUGUGUCUAUAAUUGGAAAAUAUCUAUUGAUGCAAUCACUUUUUUGUUUCAAAGAAAAGAGGUUAUUUUAGAUUAACUAUUGAACAAGUUCACCCUGGAACACAAAACUAGCAAACUGCCUCAGAGUCACAACGGGGAGUAACUGAGGGGGGUUUUUAGCCCCUUUUGCCAAUCUCCUUUCAACGUGAGGACAUGGUUUAGAUAUAUUUGAUUAGUGUUAGGGUAGGGUUUCAUUGUUGUCCCACCUUUUCCACUUCUCAGUAAAAUAAGGUCUUCAUGCACCAGACCUUGUGUUCCCAUCCUGGGAGGAAGGUGUCAUCACACACUCACACACACACACACAGAGUCAUUUCUCCAGCCUCUGAUGCUGAUGGCAAUUAUUUUGGGUCAUGUGUCAAGUUCAAGGACUCAGCACACUGAUUGAAGGGGCCAAAGCUCCACGUAAGUAGUAUUACUGAAGAUCUGAUCAUGUGGUCCUUUCGGGAAAAAUUAUAUUAGUGAAAGGCAGACAAAUAUUUCCUCAAUACUUAUAUUUAAAAGCUUCAAUACUUAUAUUUAAAAUUGUAUGGCUCGACAUUCACAUGCGGUUUUUCAGCUUUAAGGCUACAUUUUUGUGCUAAGAAAAGUGGUGUAGUUGUGCUAGGGUGUUCCUUUAUGUUUAUUCAGGGGUCUAAAUGAGGGAUAUUUUUCUUAACAGGGACAAUGAUAACAGUCGUAACACCUUCAAACUUUUUUGUCCCCUCUGAUCUUAGCAUCAGUCCACCUAAUAGCUGGAGAAAAUAUAGGUCUCCUAUCACUGACUUCUUAUGAACUAUUCCUGUGUCAUGGGGUUCUUUGGUUUUGAAUAGGCAAUUAGUUUUACAUGGC